AGUGAACGCUGGCGGUAGGCCUAACACAUGCAAGUCGAACGGCAGCACAGGAGAGCUUGCUCUCUGGGUGGCGAGUGGCGAACGGGUGAGGAAUACAUCGGAAUCUACUUUUUCGUGGGGGAUAACGUAGGGAAACUUACGCUAAUACCGCAUACGACCUACGGGUGAAAGCAGGGGACCUUCGGGCCUUGCGCGAUUGAAUGAGCCGAUGUCGGAUUAGCUAGUUGGCGGGGUAAAGGCCCACCAAGGCGACGAUCCGUAGCUGGUCUGAGAGGAUGAUCCGCCACACUGGAACUGAGACACGGUCCAGACUCCUACGGGAGGCAGCAGUGGGGAAUAUUGGACAAUGGGCGCAAGCCUGAUCCAGCCAUACCGCGUGGGUGAAGAAGGCCUUCGGGUUGUAAAGCCCUUUUGUUGGGAAAGAAAUCCAGCUGGCUAAUACCCGGUUGGGAUGACGGUACCCAAAGAAUAAGCACCGGCUAACUUCGUGCCAGCCGCCGCGGUAA
rnacentral:rRNA from 1 species